CGUUGAAACACUAGUUCUAGUCCGAUUACCGAAGUUAAGCAACGUCAAACCUGGUCAGUACCAAGAUGGGUGACCGCUUGGGAAUACCAGAUGCUGUA